rnacentral:tRNA from 1 species
AAAGCCUUAGCUUAAAUUAAAGUGUCUGAUUUGCAGUCAGGUGAUGUAGAUAAGAAUUUUACAGGUUUUC